rnacentral:rRNA from 1 species
CCAGACUCCUACGGGAGGCAGCAGUGAGGAAUAUUGGUCAAUGGCCGAGAGGCUGAACCAGCCAAGUCGCGUGAGGGAAGACGGCCCUACGGGUUGUAAACCUCUUUUGUCGGGGAGCAAAGCGAGUCACGUGUGACUCAUUGAGAGUACCCGAAGAAAAAGCAUCGGCUAACUCCGUGCCAGCAGCCGCGGUAAUACGGAGGAUGCGAGCGUUAUCCGGAUUUAUUGGGUUUAAAGGGUGCGCAGGCGGAGGUGCAAGUCAGCGGUCAAAUUGCGGGGCUCAACCCCGUCGUGCCGUUGAAACUGGCGUUCUUGAGUGAGCGAGAAGUAUGCGGAAUGCGUGGUGUAGCGGUGAAAUGCAUAGAUAUCACGCAGAACUCCGAUUGCGAAGGCAGCAUACCGGCGCCCAACUGACGCUGAAGCACGAAAGCGUGGGUAUCGAACAGGAUUAGAUACCCUGGUA